CCUGGACAGUGCCUGGUGUACAGUAAAUGUUCAGUAACUAUUGAAUGAUUUGUCAUAAACUUACAUAUACCCUGAACCUAUCAGCACAGCUUUAAAAUAUAUAAGGCAAAUUGGUCUACAAAACGAUAUAGACGAGUGUGAGACCAACUCACACCCCUUAGAAACAUACUAGGAAAACCCAAAACAACAAAGAACUGUUUAAAUGCAAAAGUAGAAUGAGUGCUUUUACCAUCUGUAUUUCUUUUUUUUUUUUUUUUUUUUUUUGAGACGGAGUCUCGCUCUGUCGCCCAGGCUGGAGUGCAGUGGCCAGAUCUCAGCUCACUGAAAGCUCCGCCUCCCGGGUUCACGCCAUUCUCCUGCCUCAGCCUCCCCUUCCCAACGCUUCUAGAUUCUCCCCCUGCUAACCACCCUCUGUCAGAGGAAUAUCUCUUAG
rnacentral:lncRNA from 1 species